rnacentral:lncRNA from 1 species
AAGGCUCUGCCAGCUGGAGCGGGGAUGAGUCAGCAGAGGGCUGGUGGGGGAGGGGCAGCUCCGCCCCUGGCCUGGCCUCCCCCUUCUCCUGGGAAGGUCUCCAGGCCUAGCCUGGCCCUGGCUGCUGCUCCUGGGUCACUGCCUUGGCACUGGGGGCCGAGAACACAUUCCUGGAACCGGCCAGCACAGACGGCUAGAGGGUUUUCCCUCCUCCUGCUUCCCCCUCCAGUCCCGCCCCACACCCGCCCUUUUAUUUUUCCUUCUCGCUGCAGAACCAAAACACCGUGUUCACGAGCCCUGGAAUGGGAGCCAAAUGGCAAGCAUAGAGCGAUUGGACACAGGAGCUGCCAGGCCCAAGCAGGCCAGGCAAUGAGGACACCUCCUGUCAGCAGCCCAGGGCCCAGCGAGGGGCUGUCAUACUCUCCUUCCAUCUAUCCGGGCAAAGGGUCAUUGCUCAGGGCUCCUGGGAACUGGAGUUCAAGAUGGGGAGAUGAAGAUGCAAGACGGGAGAGGCCUGGGGCCCAAGGUCAUCUGCAGAGACAAGCCCCAGGCGCUAGAUGAAGUGAAAGCAGGCUACAGCCGACUUGGAUUAAGGACAGGACAAUGUACACCGACCCCCAUUUCCACCCUCCACCUCCAGUUUUCCUUCUGGAACAGCUUUCAGUGUCCGUCUGUCUGUCUUCUGGUCUUCUCUACUGCUUGGACAACACAGAGCUGGCCCAGACUGAUCAGGGAAGCAGCCACUGCUGGAAGAGGGUGCUCUCCCACUCCAGGAGCCCUCCCGGUGUCGUCGUCCCCGUGUCCCCCACCCCCGCCCUCACCUGGAACUGGAAGUGAACAUAGAUGUGUGUGUGCACAGAACACAUUUGCCCCACCCUUCAGCAUCAAGAGGAAACCCAAAGGGAAGGCCAUCACCAUGGCCACCAAGCUGCUGCAUCACUGGUCCCUAGGGAAGGGGAACUGCCAUCUGGGCAAGGGGUGGGGAAGGGCAGAGGAAAGCCGUCUCCCAUACUCAGAACCUUGAUUGAAGGGUCAGCGGUGGAGGUGACCAUGGCACCUACCUGGAUUUUCAGAAACCCCUCUAAGUAUUGCUGGGUUGGAGAGUGAGGGAAGGCUUGGAAGCCUGAGUACGGUGGUGUCAAGCAACUAGUAUUCUCCUAGGAGCCAACAAAGGUGCCCUGAGGGCAGAAGUGCCGAGCAUCCAGGUGCUAUCUGUCCUCCCUACUUCCUAGCUAUAUGACCUUAGUCUUCUACCAGUCAGAAAGCACCAACCCUAUAGAAUGAAGACAUGCAUACUUUGUGUGCUAUGGAAGACCGCCCUAGAGAUGAGAAUGGCAAGUGUGUGUGUGUGUGUGUGUGUGUGUGUGUGUGUGUACAUAUUGAAAGGCUUUGGAAUUGUGUCUCAAAAGCCCCAUGAAAGAAGCCUUAUUACCACCAUCCAUCUGGCUUUCCCCCAAAGACUGUGGUGGAGUGGUAGUCAGGAAACCAAUGGCCCUCUUGCUUUGUCAGGGAACCACCAUCUAUUCUGGCCUUACUAAGAUAUGCCUGGGUUACCUUGGUCAGCUUCUCUAGGCCUGCACUUUCCUAUAGAAACAGUGGUCUUGCAUGGGGGAAAUUGAGACACAGCAGAUAGACCAGAUCAUUAGCUAAUCCUGCAUUCUCCUUCCUCAUCCUUGCCUUGGGUUCAAACCCUAAGGAUAGCCAUGACCUUUCUCCCUGGGAAGGGGGAGUCAGGAACCCCUGGGUUUCUCCUUCUACCUGGGGGAGCUUGGGCAAAUAACCAAACCUCUUUAGCUCUCAUUUCCUCUUUGCACAACGGAAUCCCACAGACAUCUUAGAGGUUGGGGAUUUAGCUCAGUGGUAGAGCGCUUGCCUAGCAAGCACAAGGCCCUGGGUUUGGUCCUCAGCUCUGGAAAAAAAAAGAAAAAAAAAGAGAGAAUUAAGUGAGCUAAAAGCCCAAGUGAGCCAUUCUCCCCUGCUAAACUCUGGGUAUAUCGGGGUUCUUUUACUGGGGGGCAACUGGUUCCCAAAGGUGCCAGGCCAUAGAUAUGGGAAGAGGGGGAACCCUCGGACAGCAGUCACCUGCACCCCCACUCUUCUCCUCACAGAGACAGCCUGCUCCCCCGUGUGGUUUGAAAAGGCUGUGUGACAGAAGCCAGGGAGAACUCUAAAGGACAGGUACCAGCCAAGAAAAACUGAGAGGCAGGGCAGGGAAGAUAAUCAAUCAUCCAAAGAGGGGCUUCAGGAAGGUAGUGUGCGCUUGUGCAAACACACACACACACACACCAACCGAUAGAAACUGCUAAGCCAGAAGGGGCUUGUCUGCUGGUGGGCCAGGCUGAGUCACCCUGGCGCUGGUCCUUUUGACUUCACUUGGUGAAGGAGAAGGGACAGCUGCUCUGUCUGGCCUUUGUUUCUCACUUCUCUCAGAAAGGCCUCUCCCAUCCUGGUCUCCAGCUCGCUGGCUCUCCCCACCACAUCCCUGCACUUUCUCUCAUCCUCCCCUUUCUCUCUCUCCCUACCCUGUCCUUCCCUUGAAGCGAAUUUCUUGCUUUCUCAUCCUUUCUUCUCAAAGCUCACAAUCACACUCGAGUGUGGCUGCCUUUCCUCUCUCCUUCCCUCUCUUCCUGUGUCCUGCUCCACUCCACCCCUCCUUCUCCAUCCCUCCCUUCGCCAUUUCCUCCCCCUCCUUCUUCCCAUUUCUUCCUUUCUCUCUCCAACCUUUUUACUCUCUCCUUUCAUCUCUUCUCUCCCCUCACCUAGACAAGGUACCGGAAGACCCCAGAUAAACAAAACCAGGUGGAGAGACUGUGCAUCAAGCCCUUGUCAGUCCUGGUCUGUUAAGAGUCUAGAGACCAAGGUCAAUGCUGAGUGGAAAGUCAGCCGACCCUGACAGCCACCUGGAACCCCACCUCACCUCCAGAGAUUCCUGUGCCAGGUCACCUGCCUCCCACAGACACCUGCCUGGCUCCUAGCACCUGCUAUCUGAGUUCCAGGUUAAGCCAGGUACAGCUGAGUCCCUAGCCUUUUCUGCCACUAGGUUAGGGACCUCCCUGGCCUCCUCUGUCCAAUGCAGGGAACUGAGGCAAAAGGAGGACAGAAAAAAGAAAUCCUUAACCUUAACCUUGAACUGUUGGAAAAUGGCCAUGAAAUGGAUUAUCACCAUGGGUGAAGCAUACGUCAUGCAGAAACAGAAUUCAGCAGACUGAGUUUGAAUCUUGACCCUGAAUGUUCUUAAUAAAUAACCCUGAGCACAAUACUC